rnacentral:rRNA from 1 species
CUUGAAAAAGGGAGUUCAAGAAGAGCUUCGAAGAAGCUUUCUUGAUGGAGGGGAGUGGCAGACGGGUGAGUAACGCGUGGGAACAUACCCUUAUCUUCGGAACAACUCCGGGAAACUGGAGCUAAUACCGAAUGUGCCCUUAGGGGGAAAGAUUUAUCGGAUAAGGAUUGGCCCGCGUUGGAUUAGCUAGUUGGUGGGGUAAAGGCCUACCAAGGCGACGAUCCAUAGCUGGUCUGGGAGGAUGAUCAGCCACAUUGGGACUGAGACACGGCCCAAACUCCUACGGGAGGCAGCAGUGGGGAAUAUUGGACAAUGGGCGCAAGCCUGAUCCAGCCAUGCCGCGUGAGUGAUGAAGGCCUUAGGGUUGUAAAGCUCUUUCACCGGAGAAGAUAAUGACGGUAUCCGGAGAAGAAGCCCCGGCUAACUUCGUGCCAGCAGCCGCCGUAA